rnacentral:rRNA from 1 species
CCUACGGGAGGCAGCAGUGAGGAAUAUUGGUCAAUGGGCGUAAGCCUGAACCAGCCAAGUCGCGUGAGGGAUGAAGGUUCUAUGGAUCGUAAACCUCUUUUAUAAGGGAAUAAAGUGUGGGACGUGUCCUAUUUUGUAUGUACCUUAUGAAUAAGGAUCGGCUAACUCCGUUCCAGCAGCCGCGGUAAUACGGAGGAUCCGAGCGUUAUCCGGAUUUAUUGGGUUUAAAGGGUGCGUAGGCGGCCUUUUAAGUCAGGGGUGAAAGUCUGUGGCUCAACCAGAGAAUUGCCGUUGAAACUGGGGGGCUGGAGUAUGUGUGGGGGAGGCGGAAUGCGUGGUGUAGCGGUGAAAUGCUUAGAUAUCACGCAGAACCCCGAUGGCGAAGGAAGCUUGCCAGGCCAUGACUGACGCUGAUGCACGAAAGCGUGGGGAGCAAACAGGAUUAGAUACCCGAGUAGUC